rnacentral:rRNA from 1 species
GGGGAUAACAGUUAGGAAUGACUGCUAAUACCGCAUAAGACCACAAAACCGCAUGGUUUGGUGGUAAAAACUCCGGUGGUGUAAGAUGGGCCCGCGUCUGAUUAGGUAGUUGGUGGGGUAACGGCCUACCAAGCCGACGAUCAGUAGCCGACCUGAGAGGGUGACCGGCCACAUUGGGACUGAGACACGGCCCAGACUCCUACGGAAGGCAGCAGUGGGGAAUAUUGCACAAUGGGGGAAACCCUGAUGCAGCGACGCCGCGUGAGCGAUGAAGUAUUUCGGUAUGUAAAGCUCUAUCAGCAGGGAAGAAAAUGACGGUACCUGACUAAGAAGCCCCGGCUAACUACGUGCCAGCAGCCGCGGUAAUACGUAGGGGGCAAGCGUUAUCCGGAUUUACUGGGUGUAAAGGGAGCGUAGACGGCCUGGCAAGCCAGAUGUGAAAGGCUGGGGCUCAACCCCAGGACUGCAUUUGGAACUGUCAUGCUAGAGUGUCGGAGAGGCAGGCGGAAUUCCUAGUGUAGCGGUGAAAUGCGUAGAUAUUAGGAGGAACACCAGUGGCGAAGGCGGCCUGCUGGACGAUGACUGACGUUGAGGCUCGAAAGCGUGGGGAGCAAACAGGAUUAGAUACCCUGGUAGUCCACGCCGUAAACGAUGAC